UUGAUACAAGCUGGUGAAGGACAUGCACUACGAGGCGCGUGUCCAGGCCAUCGUUGUGUACUGCGCCGAGUUCGAGAAGAGGAGUGUCAAGAAACCAGCCGCAAGGGACAUCUUUCUCACGCGAGACCAGUACUUAAGGGUGCCUCCGAACUGGUGUGCAAACAAGGCCGAGUGCUGGUCUAUGAUGGUGGACAAGUGGAUCAGCGAGGAUUGGGCCCGCCGCACGCCUUAUGCCGGGAGCGCCGCUUGAUGAUGCCGGGUCCGGCACAUCAUCAAGGGAGCCUUAGCCUCGGCGAGUACAAGAAUACUUGGUCGGAGUCUCAUCCAGGCCAGUCUUGCAACGACUUCACGGCGUACGCCAUGUCUCACAUGGGCAGGGCGACGUCGGACGUGGCCUACAAACCGGUGGCUCCACCAGAGGCCUACACAAACCCAAGCAUCCACGCGCGCAUCAAUGCGUACACGGAGGUGGGAAGGGCGCUCCACGGGGAGACUUGGGAUCUGACCACUGCGCCACUCUCCGGAGAAGCCAUCAUGAGGGCGGGACAAGGGAAGAAGCACGGGCGGUACUUGAUCGCCAACAGCUUGGUCGACACAGCGAGUACGCCC